UGGCCUAAGUUUGUACAUGCUUUUAUUUUGAAAUGUGUUUUAUUUUGAAAUGGGUUUUCUCUGCUGAGGGAGUCACGUGUGUACAAUUCACUUCCUGUUAGUAGUGAAGAAGCUAGCUGAAUCAGUUCUCCUGUGUUUGUGUUCAUCCAAAGCAAUUCACGCUGUAAACGCCACAGAGGCAAUGUCGUAAGUAUAUAAUUUCAUGGUUGAAUAUAAAUAAUUGUUAAAAAGGAUAUAUUAUUUACAUGAAAAAGAAUUUGAUUGGUUUGUAUUAAAAUAUUUCAUUUAUAUGUAUUUACAUGGAGGAAAGCACAUGUUGGAAAGUAAAAUGGGGAUUUGUUUUGUAUUUUUGUGUUACAGUUUUCACUCUGCCCUGUAUGAUACAAAAGAGGAACAGUAAACAGCAAAGAAAGCUCACUAUGCCUCAAGUCAAUCAUUUGCAGAGAAGAGUUUAGCUAGUUGUAUAGCUGCAGUUGCUACACUGUGGUGAGGACAACAUAGUGAAAAGACAUUUAAAGGCUGGUGUUGUACAUCGUGGUAAGAUGGAUGGGAAACAAAAUGACAAGAUUUCAGUGGUUAGCAGGAGUUCACGGUCAUCUGCAUCGUCAAGUGGUUCAUUAAUACGUGCACGUGCCAAAGCAGAAGCAGCUAAAGCACGCCUUGCAUUUGCUGAACAAGAAGCUAAAGCUAAGAUAGAAAGAGCAGCUAAGGAGGCUGAGCAGAAGAAAGAGAUAGCUGACAGAGAAGCUGAAUAUCAGAAGAUAAAGGCUGACAAAGAUGCUGCAUAUCACUUUGAGAAAGUAAAGAGGGAUGCUGAGCUUGAAGAACUUGUUAUACGCCGAGAAGCAGCAGCAGCAGAGGCUGAAGCAGCUGUGUGGGAAUUAGCAGAUGCCCAGGCAUAUCCGUUGGUGCUAGAUGAGGUAGGCCCAUCAGAGGAAGACAAAAUGGAGCGGACAAGUGACUACAUUACCUCUCACUUUGACCCACAAUCACAUAAAAGCUGUCCUUCAACUGACUUCCCAGAUCAAGUAGCCAUUAUAGCUCACUCACCAAAAAGUCAGCCCCCAGCAAAUGAGACAUUAUUUAGCCCUCGCAAUCCCUUUAAUCCAGAACAUCGGACCCCUGCAUUUCCAAAUGAAACAUCAUAUGCUAAUGUCACUAGCCACUCUGACAUUUUUGACUAUGUGUAUGUCCCGCCAGCAGUCAAAAUGGAAAAUCAGGCUUCGCACAGAGCACCUGACCAACAGAGUGAUUCAAAAGAGUGUCAGUCCAACCUGAACAAGUCAGCACAGCCUUUCUAUCCAAAGUCCAUGCCUACAGCUUCCUACAGUGCACCCACAACUGAACACCUGGCGCAGUACUUGGCUCGGCGUGACCUGGUGAAUUCAAGUUUAUAUCAGUUUGAUGAUAAGCCUGAACACUAUCGUGCUUGGCAGUCUUCAUACACCAAUGUCACACAAGGGCUAGGCCUCACACCUACUGAGGAGUUGGACUUGAUGAUAAAAUGGCUCGGUAGAGAAUCCAGCAAUCAUGUGAAGCGUAUACGGUCAGUACACAUAACAAACCCAGUCACAGCACUUAAGAAGGCCUGGGAUCGCCUCCAGGAAUGUUAUGCAGCACCUGAAAUGAUCGAAAGGUCUCUUUUCGACCGACUUGGCAAUUUCCCAAGAGUUUCAGCAAAAGAACACGUGAAGCUACGGGAACUAUCAGAUUUGCUAAUGGAAGUACAGUGUGCUAAGGAGGACGGUUACCUCCCAGCUCUCUCCUACUUGGACACUGCACGUGGUAUCGAACCCAUAGUUGCAAAAUUGCCCUAUGGGCUUCAAGAAAGAUGGAUUUCAGCUGGUUCAAAACAUAAGGAAGAAAAUAAAGGACAAUUUCCACCCUUUGAAUUUUUCAGCCAGUUCAUAAGUUAUGAGGCACGGAAGAGAAACGACCCCAGCUUUUCUAUCCCAAGCGCUUGCAGCUCACCCACAAAGUUCGAAAGGGCCCCCUUUAAAGGCACAAGGAACCCCAUUUCGGUUCACAAGACGGAUGUUGAUUCUACACACACACGUGCAAGCAAUGUGAAAGGUGUAAGUGACCCAAAUAAGAGCUGCCCAAUACACAGCAAGCCACAUCCCCUUAAACGGUGCAAAGCUUUUAGAGCAAAGAACCUGGAAGAAAGAAAGACUUUUCUCAAAGAAAGAGGGAUCUGCUUUAGGUGUUGUAGCUCAACCACUCACUUUGCUAAGGACUGUCAAAAUGCAGUUAAGUGUAUGGAAUGUGAGAGCACCUAUCAUGACUCUGCCAUGCAUCCUGGACCUGCAUCUCAAGUUAAGGCUUCUUCAACUUCACCACACAAUGGCGGGGAGGGAGAAGAGAACAACACUGCCACCACAGUUGUUAACUCAAGCUGCACUGAGGUUUGUGGGCCAGGACAAAUUGGUCGAUCAUGCUCCAAGAUUUGCCUGGCGAAAGUAUAUCGCAAGGGUCAACCAGACAAACACGUUAAGGCCUACGUCAUCUUGGAUGACCAAAGCAAUAGGUCAUUGGCACGGUCCAGUUUAUUUGAGCUAUUUAAUGUAGAGUGUGAACCAUACUCCUACUAUUUGAAGACGUGUUCUGGCACCGUUGAAGCAUCUGGGCGUAGAGCUGAAGCCUUCAUUGUCGAGUCGCUGGAUGGAAGGGCUAUAAUCCCUCUCCCACCACUCAUCGAGUGCAAUGAUAUACUCGACAAUCGGUCUGAAAUCCCGACUCCGAGUGCAGCUCGACACCAUCCUCAUCUUGCGAAAGUAGCAGAGCACAUUCCUGAUAUCGACCCAACUGCUGAGAUCCUCCUGUUGCUCGGCAGGGAUGUAAUAAGAGUGCACAAGGUCAGGGAACAGGUCAACGGGCCCCACAAUGCCCCCUUUGCGCAACGGCUAGACCUGGGAUGGGUGCUAGUUGGAGAAGUGUGUUUGGGAAGUGCACACAGGCAGACUGUCAACACCUUCAAAACAACUGUGCUUGAGAAUGGUCGACCCUCACUCCUACAACCUUGCACAAGCUUCUUGCACAUCAAAGAAAAGAUUGAUCAUGGCACAGCAGCAAGUGAUGGCAAGUCAGAGGUCAGUAAACCUGCAGAAGAGGUGUUAGGACAAACUGUCUUCAAUCACACAGAACGUGACAACAAGCUGGCAUCCUCAAUUGAAGAUGACAUCUUCUUGAAACUGAUGGGCAAAGAAGUCUACAGAGAUGAGUCUAAUAGUUGGGUUGCCCCACUCCCAUUUAGGCAACCAAGGCAACGCCUACCCAACAACCGGGAACAAGCAGCCAAACGAUUUGCGUCACUCCAGUGCAGUCUAAAUAAGAGACCAGAGAUGCAACAGCAAUACAUGGCCUUCAUGGGAAAAAUAUUGGAGAACGGUCAUGCAGAGGUAGCACCAUCGUUGGGAGAGAGUGAAGAAUGUUGGUACUUGCCAACCUUUGGGGUUUUCCACCCACAAAAACCAGGCCAAAUUAGGGUGGUAUUUGAUUCAAGUGCCAAACACUUAGGUAUUUCUCUCAACGACGUGCUCCUCACAGGACCCGAUCUCAACAAUACACUCCUUGGAGUUCUGAUGAGGUUCCGGAAGGAAAAGGUUGCGAUCCUGGCAGAUAUACAACAGAUGUUUCACUGCUUCUUGGUGCGACAGGACCACAGGAACUACCUGAGAUUCCUGUGGUACAAGGAUAAUGACAUGACGAAGGAGAUCAUAGACUACAGAAUGACGGUUCAUGUUUUUGGCAACAGCCCAUCCCCUGCUGUAGCUAUCUAUGGACUUAGAAGAGCCAUCAAAGAGGGUGCACAAGAACAUGGAACUGACACCGUCAACUUUGUGGAGCGCCACUUCUAUGUGGACGAUGGCCUUCUUUCUGUGCCAACUGAUGCUGAAGCCAUCGACUUGUUGCGCCGAACACAGACUUCCCUUGCUGAAUCGAACCUCAGGCUUCACAAGUUUGUGUCUAAUAGCCAAACUGUCUUGGAAGCUUUCCCACCUGAAGACUGUGCUGCAAUCAUGGAGGAUGUGGAUUUCUGUGGAGAGGCAGUCCUUACUCAACGCAGCCUGGGUCUUCUAUGGGAGAUAAAGAGUGACACAUUCACCUUCUCUGUGGCCCAUGACAGCAAGCCGUUUACUCGUCGUGGUGUCCUCUCCACAGUGAACAGUGUUUUUGACCCCUUAGGGUUUCUGGCCCCAGUAACAAUCCAAGGAAGAGCCCUCCUCCGCGAACUCACAGCAGAGCUGUCUGAUUGGGACACAACCUUACCUGAAGAUAAGCUCAGUAAGUGGCAGGUGUGGCAAAACUCUCUUAUGGACCUGAGACACCUUCAUGUACCACGUACAUACACCACAGCUUCUCUCGCCAAGGCAGUGCAUGUAGAGCUGUGCGUAUUUUCUGAUGCAUCUACCAAAGCCAUUGGUGCUGUAGCAUACCUGAAAACUGUGCAAGAAGAUGGUGAAACCCAUGUUGGAUUCGUCAUGGGGAAGGCCAAACUUGCACCCCAGUCAGAACCAACUAUUCCAAGGCUGGAACUUUGUGCAGCAGUCCUAGCUGUGGAAAUGGCAGACUUAAUUCGUGACGAAUUGGAUUUGAAGCUGGAUUCCAUGAAUUUCUUCACUGAUAGCAAAGUGGUUCUGGGUUACAUCUUCAAUGAAUCUAGACGCUUCUAUGUCUAUGUUCAUAAUAGAGUACAGCGCAUUCGCCAAACCACUAAACCUGAUCAAUGGCACUACGUGCGUACAGAAGAUAAUCCUGCCGACUACGCAUCGAGGUCUGUUCCUGCCUCACUCCUGGCGCAGACAAUGUGGUUCACAGGACCUGACUUCCUGCUUAACCCUCCGAAUGAACCAGAAGCAGUCCAGUCCUUUGACUUAGUGAAACCUGAGUUGGACCCGGAUAUCCGUCCACCAGUGAGGAGCUAUGCCACACACCUCCAAGAGAAAGGUCUCAGCACAGAACGCUUUCAAAGGUUCUCCAGUUUCAACUCUCUUGUUCGAGCUAUAGCACUCCUAAUUCACAUUGCAAGGUCUUACAAUCUUUCCAAUCACGGGGACAAGUGUAAAGGAUGGCAUAAGUGUGAUCUACCUCGUACUCCAGAAGAACUAUCUCAAGCUGAGGAAGUCAUCAUCUCAGCUGUUCAGAAGAGACCAUUCCCAAAGGAAUUUGAAGCCUUGACAUCGAACAAGCCAGUCCCUCUAAGUAGCAGCCUUCGUUGCCUCAGUCCAACCUUGCAGAACAAUCUUAUCUGUCUUGGAGGUCGUUUGAAAAAUGCUAACCUGGAAAUUGGAGAGAAGAAUCCAAUAAUCCUCCCAAAAGAUGAUCAUGUCUCUUUGUUGCUUGUCAGGCACCAUCAUGCUCAAGUUAAACAUCAAGGUCGUCACCUGACAGAGGGAGCUGUCAGAGCAGCAGGAUUAUGGCUCCUGGGAGGAAAAAGGCUCAUCAACUCUGUCUUACACAAAUGUGUAACAUGCCGUAAGCUUAGGGGAAGAAUACAGGAGCAACGCAUGGCUGAUUUGCCACCCCAGCGUCUCCAGACCUGCCCUCCUUUCACGUACGUGGGGUUGGAUGUCUUUGGACCCUGGCUCAUCACCACUAGACGCACAAGGGGAGGACAGGCUGAAAGCAAGCGGUGGGCGAUACUGUUCUGUUGCAUGAGCUCUCGAGCUGUCCACAUCGAGGUCAUUGAUUCAAUGGACACCUCAAGCUGUAUCAACGCUUUAAGGCGUUUCUUUGCCAUAAGAGGACCCGCGAAACAACUCAUGUCCGAUUGUGGCACAAACUUCAUGGGAGCAUGUAAGGAGCUUGGAAUAAGUAAAAACCAACCAGACUCAACUGUGCAGAGGUACCUAAACCAACAAGGAUGCUCAUGGGAGUUCAACCCCCCACAUGCUUCGCAUAUGGGCGGGUCUUGGGAACGUCUGAUUGGCGUGGCCAGAAUUCUGGACUCAAUGUUUCUUGAACAGCACACUCGCUUAACCCAUGAUGUUUUGUGCACGCUAAUGGCAGAAGUGACCGCCAUUAUCAACGCAAGGCCUCUAAUCCCGGUUUCAAAUGACCCUGAGGAUCCAUUCAUCCUGUCACCAUCAAUGCUUUUGACUCAGAAAGUAGGAGUCCCACCUCCACCAGGAGACUUUAUAGACAAAGACCUCCUCACCAAGCAAUGGAGACAAGUACAAGUUCUUGCCAAUAAAUUUUGGAGCCGUUGGAGUCGAGAGUAUUUGCCAACUUUGCAGCACAGGAGGAAAUGGAACAAAUCACACCCAAACCUGCAAGAAGGAGACCUCGUUCUUCUCAAAGACAGUCAAGCUGCCCGCAACAACUGGCCAAUGGCUAUAAUCACAAAGGCUUUCUCUGGAAGUGAUGGAAGAGUGAGAAAGGUGGAAUUGAAGACCACAGACCAAGGACAUUCAAAGACGUUCUUCCGACCAGUCUCAGAAGUUGUUUUACUUCUUGCUAAAAAUGAUGUUCAGAGACCUGCUUAGUUCAUGUGGUAAUUAGUUGGUGACCUCACGGAGGUCAGGCGGGGAGUGUGUUGCCUUUAUGGCCUAAGUUUGUACAUGCUUUUAUUUUGAAAUGUGUUUUAUUUUGAAAUGGGUUUUCUCUGCUGAGGGAGUCACGUGUGUACAAUUCACUUCCUGUUAGUAGUGAAGAAGCUAGCUGAAUCAGUUCUCCUGUGUUUGUGUUCAUCCAAAGCAAUUCACGCUGUAAACGCCACAGAGGCAAUGUCGGUACGACUAAUAUUCUGUACCAGCAAGAAUGACAUGGUAACCAUAAUAAGAAUGCAAAAGUUGCAGAGGAUGACGAAAAAGAAGAAUGAGAAACAGUGUCAAGUGAUACUCAUUAGUCAAGUGAGAGAUGGAGGGAGGGAACUGAUGAGGCCUGAGAUGAAGAGGAUCAGAGAAAGCAAAGUAGGGGGGGCGGGUGACUUCAGUCUCUGCUGGACAGAAAAAAAUAGUACUGGUAGAUAAAUGAGCUGAUGACAAAAGGCAUCCAGAACUCAGAGACGCCUCUCUUCCUUCUCUCUAUGAUGAUGGAGAACCCAGAAGCGGCUGAACUCUGCUUUCCACAACUCCUCAACAAUUCCUGCAGGAAACCUUUGCCGCCUCAGUCUGAUGGCAUGCUUGUUUACAUCGUGCUGUCCUUCAUCUCUCUGCUCACUGUGACUCUCAACCUUCUGGUCAUCAUCUCCAUCUCCAACUUCAGGCAGAGUUAAACUUACUGAGCUAAUAUAUAUAUAUACAUUUUAUUUUUUCAUAAUGAAAAUUUACAAGAAAAAAUGUAAUUGAGGUGGCACAUAGAUUUCAUUUUUAGACCAUCUAGUGUGAAACCCGCAGUUAAUAAUAGUUUUGUAUUUUAAAAUGCUUACUUGAGAAAAUCAAAAUGCUGUUAUGUUAAGUAUGUGCUUUCUACUACUACUGUUACUGACAAACUACCAUUGAUGAUAAUCUCACAAGUUAUGAUAUUCUUCCUCCUAAGGCAGCUACACAACCCAACCAACCUCCUCAUCCUCUCUCUGGCUGUCUCAGACUUUCUUGUUGGGCUCCUGCUGA